UACGUAGGGUGCGAGCGUUAAUCGGAAUUACUGGGCGUAAAGCGUGCGCAGGCGGUUGUGCAAGACAGAUGUGAAAUCCCCGGGCUUAACCUGGGAAUUGCAUUUGUGACUGCACGGCUAGAGUGUGUCAGAGGGGGGUAGAAUUCCACGUGUGAGCAGUGAAAUGCGUAGAUAUGUGGAGGAAUACCGAUGGCGAAGGCAGCCCCCUGGGAUAACACUGACGCUCAUGCACGAAAGCGUGGGGAGCAAACAGG
rnacentral:rRNA from 1 species